AUGAAAAUGACCCAAAUAAACAACAAAACGUCACGAUAAAACGUCAACGUCAAUCAAAAAUGACAGUGACAGUUACUUUUUUUUUUUCAUCGAUAGGCUUUGAGCAACAAAAUUCAUCGCACCUAAUGCAUGACGUCAUCAGCACUUUUUGACUAUUUUAUGAAUUUCUCCAAAAUGAUACAUCCAAAAAAUUCAAAAAUAUUUUUUUCGUGGCCUUUAUAGCUAAAUCUCGAAAUGGUUUCCGAUUUAUAGCAGCUUUAGUUUUUUGAAAUGUUGUCCAUUGCUGGAGCUGUGCUCGCCAUGCAGUGCAUGGGCUACUUAGGAAUCUGGGAGGCUGUUGCAAAGGAGUCCGUUGCCUCUAUACGGUACGGGUGCCGUGCGAUUUAUGGCCCUUCCAGGAGCACCUGUUUUGUCAAGUCGAAGAGAAUGGCUCGUAUUCGACGCAACCUGCAGUACUGGUGGGAUUGGUUGGAGGUCUGGACAGCACGUAGCUGCAGCAACCGUCAUGCCGUCAUUCGACGCAUAGAUGCAAAAAAAAGUUGAAAUUCAUGUUAAUAAUUAGAUUUUAAUUUUACAAUAUUG